CCUACGGGUGGCAGCAGUAGGGAAUAUUGCUCAAUGGGGGAAACCCUGAAGCAGCAACGCCGCGUGGAGGAUGAAGGUUUUCGGAUUGUAAACUCCUUUUGUUAGAGAAGAUAGUGUCUGUAUCUAACGAAUAAGCACCGGCUAACUCCGUGCCAGCAGCCGCGGUAAUACGGAGGGCGCAAGCGUUACUCGGAAUCACUGGGCGUAAAGUGCGCGUAGGCGGGAUAGCAAGUCAGAGGUGAAAUCCUAUGGCUUAACCAUAGAACUGCAUUUGAGACUGUUAUUCUAGAUUAUGGUAGAGGUAGGUGGAAUUCUAGGUGUAGGGGUAAAAUGCGUAGAGAUCAAGAGGAAUACUCAUUGCGAAGGCGACCUGCUAGGACAGAACUGACGCUGAUGCGCGAAAGCGUGGGGAGCAAACAGGAGUAGAUACCCUAGUAGUC
rnacentral:rRNA from 1 species